CUAGGCUUGACAUACACCGGAAACGUCCAGAGAUGGGCGCCCCCUUGUGGUCGGUGUACAGGUGGUGCAUGGCUGUCGUCAGCUCGUGUCGUGAGAUGUUCCGUUAAGUCCCGCAACGAGCGCAACCCUUGUGGCGUGUUGCCAGCAGGCCCUUGUGGUGCUGGGGACUCACGGGAGACCGCCGGGGUCAACUCGGAGGAAGGUGGGGACGACGUCAAGUCAUCAUGCCCCUUAUGUCUUGGGCUGCACUCGUGCUACUUUGGCCGGUUCAAUGAGCUGCGAUACCGCGAGGUGGAGCGAAUCUCAAAAAGCCGGUCUCAGUUCGGAUUGGGGUCUGCAACUCGACCCCUUGAAGUCGGAGUCGCUAGUAAUCGCAGAUCAGCAUUGCUGCGGUGAA
rnacentral:rRNA from 1 species